CUUAGAGUUUGAUCCUGGCUCAGGAUGAACGCUAGCUACAGGCUUAACACAUGCAAGUCGAGGGGCAGCGGGAUUGAAGCUUGCUUCAAUUGCCGGCGACCGGCGCACGGGUGAGUAACGCGUAUCCAACCUUCCGUACACUCAGGGAUAGCCUUUCGAAAGAAAGAUUAAUACCUGAUGGUAUGAUGAGAUUGCAUGAUAGCAUCAUUAAAGAUUUAUCGGUGUACGAUGGGGAUGCGUUCCAUUAGGUAGUAGGCGGGGUAACGGCCCACCUAGCCAACGAUGGAUAGGGGUUCUGAGAGGAAGGUCCCCCACAUUGGAACUGAGACACGGUCCAAACUCCUACGGGAGGCAGCAGUGAGGAAUAUUGGUCAAUGGACGAGAGUCUGAACCAGCCAAGUAGCGUGAAGGAUGAAGGUCCUACGGAUUGUAAACUUCUUUUAUAAGGGAAUAAACCCUCCCACGUGUGGGAGCUUGUAUGUACCUUAUGAAUAAGCAUCGGCUAACUCCGUGCCAGCAGCCGCGGUAAUACGGAGGAUGCGAGCGUUAUCCGGAUUUAUUGGGUUUAAAGGGAGCGCAGACGGGUCGUUAAGUCAGCUGUGAAAGUUUGGGGCUCAACCUUAAAAUUGCAGUUGAUACUGGCGUCCUUGAGUGCGGUUGAGGUGUGCGGAAUUCGUGGUGUAGCGGUGAAAUGCUUAGAUAUCACGAAGAACUCCGAUUGCGAAGGCAGCUCACUGGAGCGCAACUGACGCUGAAGCUCGAAAGUGCGGGUAUCGAACAGGAUUAGAUACCCUGGUAGUCCGCACGGUAAACGAUGGAUGCCCGCUGUUGGUCUGAAUAGGUCAGCGGCCAAGCGAAAGCAUUAAGCAUCCCACCUGGGGAGUACGCCGGCAACGGUGAAACUCAAAGGAAUUGACGG
rnacentral:rRNA from 1 species